AUGAACGCUAGCUACAGGCUUAACACAUGCAAGUCGAGGGGCAGCAUGGACCCAGCUUUGCUGGGUUUGAUGGCGACCGGCGCACGGGUGAGUAACGCGUAUCCAACCUGCCCUUUACUCCGGGAUAGUCUCCUGAAAGGGAGUUUAAUACCGGAUGUGUUUGUCUUUCCGCAUGGGAGCGACAAAUAAAGAUUAAUUGGUAAAGGAUGGGGAUGCGUCCCAUUAGCUUGUUGGCGGGGUAACGGCCCACCAAGGCGACGAUGGGUAGGGGUUCUGAGAGGAAGGUCCCCCACAUUGGAACUGAGACACGGUCCAAACUCCUACGGGAGGCAGCAGUGAGGAAUAUUGGUCAAUGGGCGGGAGCCUGAACCAGCCAAGUAGCGUGAAGGACGACGGCCCUACGGGUUGUAAACUUCUUUUAUAAGGGAAUAAAGUUCGCCACGUGUGGUGUUUUGUAUGUACCUUAUGAAUAAGCAUCGGCUAAUUCCGUGCCAGCAGCCGCGGUAAUACGGAAGAUGCGAGCGUUAUCCGGAUUUAUUGGGUUUAAAGGGAGCGUAGGCGGGCUUUUAAGUCAGCGGUCAAAUGUCGUGGCUCAACCAUGUCAAGCCGUUGAAACUGUAAGCCUUGAGUCUGCACAGGGCACAUGGAAUUCGUGGUGUAGCGGUGAAAUGCUUAGAUAUCACGAAGAACUCCGAUCGCGAAGGCAUUGUGCCGGGGCAUAACUGACGCUGAGGCUCGAAAGUGCGGGUAUCAAACAGGAUUAGAUACCCUGGUAGUCCGCACGGUAAACGAUGAAUGCUCGCUAUGGGCGAUAUAUUGUCCGUGGCCAAGCGAAAGCGUUAAGCAUUCCACCUGGGGAGUACGCCGGCAACGGUGAAACUCAAAGGAAUUGACGGGGGCCCGCACAAGCGGUGGAGCAUGUGGUUUAAUUCGAAGCAACGCGAAGAACCUUACCAGGUCUUGACAUCCCGAUGAAAAACCCGUAACGGGGUUCGCUCUUCGGAGCAUCGGAGACAGGUGGUGCAUGGUUGUCGUCAGCUCGUGUCGUGAGAUGUUGGGUUAAGUCCCGCAACGAGCGCAACCCUUAUUGCCAGUUACUACGCAAGAGGACUCUGGCCAGACUGCCGUUGACAAAACGGAGGAAGGUGGGGAUGACGUCAAAUCAGCACGGCCCUUACGUCCGGGGCCACACACGUGUUACAAUGGGGGGUACAGAGGGCCGCUGUCCGGUGACGGUCGGCCAAUCCCUAAAACCCCUCUCAGUUCGGACUGGAGUCUGCAACCCGACUCCACGAAGCUGGAUUCGCUAGUAAUCGCGCAUCAGCCAUGGCGCGGUGAAUACGUUCCCGGGCCUUGUACACACCGCCCGUCACACCAUGAGAGCCGGGGGGACCCGAAGUCGGUAGUCUAACCGCAAGGAGGACGCCGCCGAAGGUAAAACUGGUGAUUGGGGUG
rnacentral:rRNA from 1 species